CGGGAGAUAGCUGGUUCUCCCCGAAAGCUAUUUAGGUAGCGCCUCGUGAAUUCAUCUCCGGGGGUAGAGCACUGUUUCGGCUAGGGGGCCAUCCCGGCUUACCAACCCGAUGCAAACUGCGAAUACCGGAGAAUGUUAUCACGGGAGACACACGGCGGGUGCUAACGUCCGUCGUGAAGAGGGAAACAACCCAGACCGCCAGCUAAGGUCCCAAAGUCAUGGUUAAGUGGGAAACGAUGUGGGAAGGCCCAGACAGCCAGGAUGUUGGCUUAGAAGCAGCCAUCAUUUAAAGAAAGCGUAAUAGCUCACUGGUCGAGUCGGCCUGCGCGGAAGAUGUAACGGGGCUAAACCAUGCACCGAAGCUGCGGCAGCGACACUCAGGUGUUGUUGGGUAGGGGAGCGUUCUGUAAGCCUGUGAAGGUGGCCUGUGAGGGUUGCUGGAGGUAUCAGAAGUGCGAAUGCUGACAUAAGUAACGAUAAAGCGGGUGAAAAGCCCGCUCGCCGGAAGACCAAGGGUUCCUGUCCAACGUUAAUCGGGGCAGGGUGAGUCGACCCCUAAGGCGAGGCCGAAAGGCGUAGUCGAUGGGAAACGGGUUAAUAUUCCCGUACUUGGUGUUACUGCGAAGGGGGGACGGAGAAGGCUAUGUUGGCCGGGCGACGGUU
rnacentral:rRNA from 1 species